rnacentral:rRNA from 1 species
GACCUCAGAUCAGGCAAGACUACC